GGGGAAUAUUGGACAAUGGGCGAAAGCCUGAUCCAGCCAUGCCGCGUGUGUGAAGAAGGCCUUCGGGUUGUAAAGCACUUUAAGCGAGGAGGAAGGUUCGUCACCUAAUACGUGGCGGAAUUGACGUUACUCGCAGAAUAAGCACCGGCUAACUCUGUGCCAGCAGCCGCGGUAAUACAGAGGGUGCAAGCGUUAAUCGGAAUUACUGGGCGUAAAGCGCGCGUAGGCGGUUGUGUAAGUUGGAUGUGAAAUCCCCGGGCUUAACCUGGGCACUGCAUUCAAAACUGCACGGCUAGAGUAUUGGAGAGGAAGGUAGAAUUCCAGGUGUAGCGGUGAAAUGCGUAGAGAUCUGGAGGAAUACCGAUGGCGAAGGCAGCCUUCUGGCCAAAUACUGACGCUGAGGUGCGAAAGCAUGGGGAGCAAAC
rnacentral:rRNA from 1 species